UGUGAUCUUCCCCUAUAGCAUUUUGGUUAUGUCCUUAUUCAGGAAAAGGAGAGAACAACCACAGACUCUUAGCACAAAUAUAGAAACAGACAGCAAAGAAAAAUUUUAAGCCAGCUUUAUUCAAAGUAGAUGACUACGAUUUAGGCAUCAGCAAUAGUAACUUCAACUUCCACUCCUGGCUCAAUGCUGAUGGAAGUGAUCUGCUUCACAAUCUCAGAAGGGCUGUGCAAGUCAAUGAGUCGCUUAUGGAUCCGCAUUUGGAAACGAUCCCAGGUCUUGGAGCCUUCACCACAAGGUGUCUUCCUGGUAGUGAUUCGCAGAGUCUUGGUGGGCAUGCGCACAGGUCCUUUCACCUUCAGGUUUUUCUCCUUAGCACCUCUGAUCAAGUCAGCACAGACCUUCUCAAGUGAUUUUACAUUGCGGCUGGUCAAAGUAAUUCUAAUGCGAUGAAUUGCUACCUCUUGCUCCACAGGUGCCUUGCCAGUAUCUUUAAAUGCCAUGGCGGCAGCGGGGCCUUCCUGGCCGACUUAUUCCCGGGCGGGGCGCGACGCGAGGCCCAGCGAACAGCGGUGAGCCAGGAGGAGGCGGCGAGAGGAAGGCGCCGCGGCGGCGGGCGGCUUAUAUAGGGCGGGCGGCACCGCCUCCAUCCGGGCGCUGCGGGACCUUUCACCUCAGGGCCGGCGCCCGGAAGUGGCGGGAGUCGGUGGGUGGUUCUGCCGUGCCCCAUAGCUGGUGGGGUGGGUGAGGGAGCCUUCACAGCCCAUCCUGAAGCCUCUUUGGUGGUGCUGCCGGAGUGGCGAUGCGGGAAUCCUGAGCAGCGUGACGGAAGAGCGCUGGUUUCGUUCAUUCCUGGGCUAGGAACUUGAAUUCGUUUUGUUUAUUGGAGUCUCUAUCUUCGCGUUCCGCGCCGUCGGCGCCUCCUCUUGAGAGCGCUCGUUGCUGUGGCCGGAACGCAGAGAGCGGCCAGCCACAAAGCCAGCUUUUUGCUGCUGCUGCCCGCACGGCUGCUCAGUCUCUUCUGUAAUCAUUGUGGCUGUUGAAGAAAGGCAGCUUGGCACCUUGAUCUGAGCUUAGUUUCACCUGGCACCCUGCCCUUAUAUAUAUAUAUAUAUGUGUGCUUUCCCUUAUCAAAUAUUUCAUGGGUCUUCACGUGAUCCUUACGCUUCGUGCGAUUUAACUGUUGUAUGCCAGCGUUGCAUUGUGGUGCUCAGCUGUGGGCUUGUUGUGCAGUCACAGCACCUCUACUUGCACUCUGUAAUCUCUCAGUUAGUAAUGUAUCGGUUUUGAACUCCAUGCUCCAUUCUGAUAGAGCAGCUUCAAUAAAUAGGAGUACAGAAGCCAUCACAGAGCUCCCUGGAGGGCUGCUGUGUCCUUUGCCAAGGGAGAUCCCCACUUCACACAUCUGCUCUGAUAGCAGUCCUGUUUCUCAUCUUCCCUGCAGCAAAAGCAGCUUUUGUUUCUGGUCAUUUGUCUCCCGAUCCCUUCAACAAUUACAUUAACAAUAUUGAACUCAAUUAUACAUAAAGGUAAUAUUAGAAACAAGAAAUUGGUUAUGAUUUUUCAUUUCACUUUAACCCCUGAUGGAUUACAAGAGGAUCCUCAAAAGUUUUCUGACCUAAUCUGCUCCUUCUGACCUUACUUGUGACCUUAGGAGGGGGAACAACUGUUUACGAGGGUGGGUAGUGAUAGGACGGGGGGGAUGGUUUUAAACUAAGAUGGGAGGUUUAGGUUAGAUAUUAGGAGGAAGUUUUUCACAGAGGGUGGUGACACACUGGAACAGGUUGCGCAAGGAGGUUGUGGAUGCCCCAUCCCUGGAGGCAUUCAAGGCCAGACUGGAUGUGGCUCUGGGCAGCCUGGUCUGGUGGUUGGUGACCCUGCACAUAGCAGGGGGGUUGAAACUCAGUGAUCAUUGUGGUCCUUUUCAACCCAGGCCGUUCUGUGGUUCUAUGAAAGAAUCCACCAUGCUGAAACACUUAAUUUUCCAGUAAUUCAAAUGGUUCUCAAUCAGCCGUCUUGCUAUGCUGGUGAAUUGCAGCUUCGAUUAAUGUUAGUACUGAACUUUAUUUCCUGAUAAACUGAUAAAA
rnacentral:lncRNA from 1 species